rfam:Hepatitis C virus subtype 6k isolate KM45, complete genome
AUUCCCGUUGUGGGAGCACCGCUUGGCGGUGUCGCGGCUGCUUUAGCACAUGGUGUUAGGGCAAUCGAAGACGGGAUCAACUAUGCAACCGGAAACCUUCCUGGUUGCUCCUU